CUUUCAACAAACCCAUAAGGUAGGUGGUGACAAAUCAUUAAAACACUUAACAUGGUGCCUGAUAUCUGAUAAAUGGACCAUGAUCUUUGCGGUAUGUGGUUAUCAUUGCUUGUCUUGUUAAGAGCGAAGAAACGGUUUUCUCUCAAAGCUCUGUAACUCUGGGUUUGUCCCUCCUGGGCUGUCUGUGGUAGGAAUGGGUGAAGGAGCUUGUUUAGAUAAGGCUGGGUUGGCAAGC
rnacentral:lncRNA from 10 species